CCGGCGCUGCCCCCGCAGCAGAGGAUGCAGAGUACAUGAUCAUGCGCUGCCUCUCGCCCUCCCCGGGCACCCCGCAGGGCCGGAGCAGCCCGGGCUGCAGGAGCGCGGAUGCAGCGGGGGGCAGAGGCUGCGAGAGCCGCCCGGGCAGCGCCCCGAGCCCGCACGGAGCGAACAAGGAGCCGGGCGUCCCCCCGGCCCCCCCAGGAGCCGACGACUCCUACGA